GCAACAACUUCCACCUGGCAUACCUUUUCAGUUGUCUGUUAAGGCUUGUAUCGCCUAAGCGGAUUAUUGGUUUCCUGUGUUGCCUACCUAAGUUGGGGAAUUGUCUUUGAUCUAUGUAGUUGCUUUUCGUCUUGUGUCAUAUACAUGGCAUGAGAUGAACCUUGAAGUUCUCCCUUUGAACCACAUUGUUAAUGAAUGAUUUGAUGUUGUGGCCCAUUGAGUGUUGCUUGGUAUCUUGGAUACAGAAUCUAUUGUUGGCAUAAAGGUUUCAUGUGAGCCUUGUUUUGCCAUCAUUUAGCAUUUGUGCUUCUUUAAAAAUGACUACCCGGCAUGUCUUGGCUUGUACUAGCAUGGCGGGUUAUGUCAGUGGGGAAUGCUACCUGGUUGAUCCUGCCAGUAGUCAUAUGCUUGUCUCAAAGAUUAAGCCAUGCA
rnacentral:misc_RNA from 1 species